GGUGGUUCUUGGGUGACGCACCCUGGAAUUGGGCUCCCUCCUCUCUGAUUCUGGGUGUGUCACCCGAGAAACGCA
rfam:Myotis davidii contig142754, whole genome shotgun sequence.